UGCAGAAUUCAGUGAAUCAUCGAAUCUUUGAACGCACCUUGNCGCUCCUUGGUAUUCCGAGGAGCAUGCCUGUUUGAGU
rnacentral:rRNA from 1 species